rnacentral:rRNA from 1 species
GGAUGAACGCUAGCGGGAGGCUUAACACAUGCAAGUCGAGGGGCAUCACGAGGUAGCAAUACUUUGGUGGCGACCGGCGCACGGGUGAGUAACACGUAUGCAACCUUCCCUGUACAGGGGGAUAACCCGGAGAAAUUCGGACUAAUACCCCAUGAUGAUAUUUAUGGGCAUCCAUUGAUAUUUAAAGCUCUGGCGGUACAGGAUGGGCAUGCGCGACAUUAGCUAGUUGGUAAGGUAACGGCUUACCAAGGCUACGAUGUUUAGGGGACCUGAGAGGGUUGUCCCCCACACUGGUACUGAGACACGGACCAGACUCCUACGGGAGGCAGCAGUCGAGAAUAGUCUACAAUGGUCGGAAGACUGAUAGUGCGACGCCGCGUGAACGAUGAAGCCCUUCGGGGUGUAAAGUUCUUUUAUAUGUGAGCAGUGGGUUUUACGUUAAUAGCGUGGAAUCAGGGAUAUUAGCAUAUGAAUAAGCAACGGCUAACUCCGUGCCAGCAGCCGCGGUAACACGGGGGUUGCGAGCGUUGUCCGGAAUUACUAGGCGUAAAGGGCAGGUAGGCGGAUCUAUAAGUUUUUUGUCAAAUUCAACGGCUCACCCGUUGCGCGGCAGGAGAUACUGUAGAUCUGGAAUGCGGUUGGGGAAGACAGAAUUCCUGGUGUAGCGGUGGAAUGCGCAGAGAUCAGGAGGAAUACCGAAGGCGAAGGCAGUCUUCUAAGCCGUAAUUGACGCUAAACUGCGAAGGUGUGGGUAUCAAACAGGAUUAGAUACCCUGGUAGUCCACACAGUAAACGAUAAUCACUGGGUGUCGGGUUCGUAGAGGAUUCGGUGCCGUAGCUAACGCGAUAAGUGAUUCGCCUGGGGAGUACGAUCGCAAGGUUGAAACUCAAAGGAAUUGACGGGGGCCCGCACAAGCGGUGGAGCAUGUGGUUUAAUUCGAGGCAACGCGAAGAACCUUACCCGGUCUUGACAUCUGCAGUAGGUUUCAGAGAUGAGGCCGUGCCGGCUUGCCGGAACUGCAAGACAGGUGCUGCAUGGCUGUCGUCAGCUCGUGUCGUGAGAUGUUGGGUUAAGUCCCGCAACGAGCGCAACCCCUGCUUCCAGUUACCAUCAUUUAGUUGGGGACUCUGGAAGGACCGCUGCGGUAACAACGCAGAGGAAGAUGGGGACGACGUCAAGUCAUCAUGGUCCUUAUGUCCGGGGCUACACACGUGCUACAAUGGUAGUUACAGAGGGAAGCGAAGCUGCGAGGUGGAGCGAAUCUCAUAAAAGCUGCCACAGUUCGGAUUGAGGUCUGCAACUCGACCUCAUGAAGUCGGAAUCGCUAGUAAUCGCGCAACAUCAUGGCGCGGUGAAUACGUUCCCGGGCCU